GACGAACGCUGGCGGCGUGCUUAACACAUGCAAGUCGAACGGUGACGGAGAGCUUGCUCUCCUGAUCAGUGGCGAACGGGUGAGUAACACGUGGGCAACCUGCCCCAGACUUCGGGAUAACGCUUCGAAAGAGGUGCUAAUACCGAAUACGAACGCCGUGGGCAUCCACGGUGUUGGAAAGUUUUCGGUCUGGGAUGGGCCCGCGGCCUAUCAGCUUGUUGGUGAGGUAAUGGCUCACCAAGGCGACGACGGGUAGCCGGCCUGAGAGGGCGACCGGCCACACUGGGACUGAGACACGGCCCAGACUCCUACGGGAGGCAGCAGUGGGGAAUAUUGCGCAAUGGGCGAAAGCCUGACGCAGCAACGCCGCGUGGGGGAUGAAGGCCUUCGGGUUGUAACCUCUUCUAGCAGGGAAGAAGCGAAAGUGACGGUACCUGCAGAAGAAAGCACCGGCUAACUACGUG
rnacentral:rRNA from 1 species